GGAGCCUGGGCUGUGCUUUCCGCUCUCCAGCUGAUUCCAAUACACACCAAAGUUUGAGAACCACAGUCAAAGCUGCAGCAGCCACCCUGUGUCUGAAGGAAAUUCAGAGACACUGGUCACCAGAUGAGACGCUGAAGCAAUCCUAGCAGUCACUUACCUUCAGGCUGCUUGCUAUGUGCAAAGAAAAAAAAAAAGCUACUUAAGAUAUUUUAAGUAAUUGUGGCUGAAAGCGUUGUCGGUUGAUACACAGCCAAAUCAAAAGAGGAAUCACAACCAAUUAUAAUGUCCCCAAUGCCCAUAGAAUCAAAAUGUUCCAGUUGCUCAGAAGAAAUUCAACUUAGGCCCCGAGGCCAAAGAAAAAUUACUCCCCUAGGCCUGCAUGAAGGAGACACUGCUUGCUGUGUUAUCUUCUCAGGCUGUACACUCACCCACCCUGACAGCCUCCAAACUGUAUUGAAACCGUGCUGCCUUUUAAGAAGAGCAAUAGUCUCCUUUGAGGUCAGAACUUCGAAGUACUGCUCGAUAGUCAGAACUGGUCAUGGGAAGUCAACAGAGAGCAGCCCUGAAUGGAGCAACGUUGGGCCCGGCAAUGCAGGUGCAGCUCCUGAGUCAAAAUGUUACCUGACUUGGGCACUUUUCCAGCCAGGAUGUGGAUCUCUUAGCAGCCAGAGGCUCUGGGACACUGGAUGUGAGCCAGCCUACCUGUGGGCAGCAUAAUGGAACUUGAAGACAAAGGAAAGGUCCCACCCAGCACCAAAUAUUUCCUUCAGAUGCCUUUCCUAGUGAGACUGCUUUGGUGAGGAAAAGAAAACAAAAUUAAACCUCAAAACUACUCUGCCAUUGGCCAGCUUUUUUGGUCAAACACCAAGUCAGGAGUAGAGAUAGUCAUAGAACAAAAAUGCUGUCGCUCAAAUGAGCAGUGACUACCAUGGUACAUUGACUGGGUAGUAAAAAACUAAAUCAGAGCCAAUGCUGUGAUGGCACUACAACCUGUGUUUUAUUUAACCAGACUAUUCUCUGGUUAGGUGGUACUUUAUUCUCAGGAGUCAGGUGGCUGGAGUAUUACUGGUGUUUCAUUUGGUAAGAGUAUUUACUCUAUAAUAGCUAAUGAGUGCUCUCUAUUUGAGAGAAAAAAAGAAUAGGAAAAAUUAUCAUGUGUAAUCUUAGUUAAUGUUCAAAAGAAAUCGUUGCAGUAUAAUUUAGCUGAAC
rnacentral:lncRNA from 1 species